UUGGGUAAUUUAUUGUCCUAUACGUAUCACACUAUAUUCUAAGGACCCUGCGACGUCUUACCAACCUUCUAUGUUUCUUCUCACGCAACCUUUCUACGUAAUGUAUCGUGGGCCGUGUAAAACGUUUGUGUUUCUAUAUAUUUUUUUCUUUCUUUCCUUCUUUUCUGCGAAUUAUCCAGUCGCCAUGCUCGAGUCCCAUUCACAGGAGGGCUGGCGAUGUUAGUGGCGCGAUUUAACAGCCAGCGCUCGGUCGCAUACUUGACUCCGGUCAUUAAUCGUAAGUGAACGUUCGUUGCGUUCGGAGCAUUCGUGGGCGUUGCAGGAAACCGUUGCGAGUGGCAAUGCGCUACUCCGGUUUCUGUUUUGGUCUACGAGAUUUCCCAGAGUUCAUUCGGUUUUCGAAAUUCGAUCGAAAGUGACAACAAACUUUGUACUUAACCAUCGCGUACCAAACAGACGAGGUUGAGUCUCGGUAUCCACUUGAGAUAUUCAAAAUGGAAUAUCUUUCAGUGUUGAGUUUGAAAUUUGGAAAAAGAUAGUAAAAACUAAUAAACAAAAUUGAACAAUAGAUAAAAAAUACAUAAAGACCUUACUUCAUUUUUGUAUACUCCGUUCCCCUCGGUUUUUGUCGCCUUUUUACGUGGACUCGUGCAGAGCCAUCUGUUCGAGAUUUCAUGGAAGGGACAUAACAGUAGCGAGGGUUCUCCUAAUUGUACCUGGAAUCGGUUAAAGCCUUAAAACGUGAUUUCUGUCAUUUUUUUUAUUUCUUUUUUUUUUAAUAACCCUACUCCUUGUUCGAAUCGACUUCUCGUCGAGAAAGACGCACGAACCUCCUAUACGCCUUGCUGUUUCCUUCGUACGCUUUCAUCGCGUUAAAUGCAUGACUAUCGUUAAGCUUCGCACACAUGUAUAUACGUCCUAUGACUUAAGAGGAUAUCAUAGCGUUAAGAAUGGAUCCUACAACGAUGCCUGGAACUAGGUAGGCUUUUAUGAAUGAAAGAGAAUCUUAUGAAUAGAGAAGUCACGACGAGGCGUUUAUACCUAUAUGGAAUAUACAACUAGAAUCUAGGUACUAUAGUACAUUAAACAUAAGACCAAUAAGUAUUCCAGACAGGAAUACAAAAUUAUUGGGUACUGAUCUCGGAUUUUGUAUCUUUAUCAUUUCCCGUUAUCCCAUGCGAAAAUUCAAGUGCCAAUGUGUCUGACUCAUUCGGAGUCUACGACAUUCUCUAAUUAUAGGAAUUAUAACACGGAACGAAUGUACCUUCUAGGAACGACUGAUCAUUCGCGGUGAGUACAGCUAACGUUCACAACUCUGUCGCAUAAUGUUCGGUUCAUAAAUGUCGUAGGAAUACCGUGAUAAAUUCUUGAAGGAAGCGUUCGUAAAGACGAGGAAUUUGAGUCGAUCCAUGAAUGGACCGGGACACAGUGUCCGAUCGGAAUUGCAUUAUUGCAUAUAGAAGGACAAGACCUACGCUUCCUAUCAAGAGGCACGCAUAAAGGCAGGAUCAUGGGUACGAAGGAGGCACAAGAGUGACGAACCAAUCCAACGUGGCAAACCUGUUACUGGAGGGAUCAAAGAAUUCGUGCAGGCUUCUGUCGCACCAGGAGUCGGGCAACAAGGAUCUUCGAGCGGAAUUAAGAAUACGACCUGCGAUGGCAAGGAUGAGGAGAAAGGGGUGGAGUAGAAUUCGUUUCAUAAAUUCGAGGAAUCACGGUGGCAGGCAUACACACGAGAAGUGGAUGUAAGAGGACGGGGAGGUGGCUGCGAGGGUCCAGAUAAAAAAUACAGAUUGUUGCCCGCGGACCGACGGGCAACAGACGCCAGUUCGGCUGUUCGGUGUGUCUGCCUGUUGCCGAUUCUAAGAACGAAUCAAAAAUGGCCGGCCAACAAAAGAAGACCGUGAUGAUGUCGGUGCCGGUGCGGUACGUGAAUUUCCCGAGGCGCAGAUGAGAGAGAGAGAAAAAACAAAGGGGGAGCGCAUAAAGGGGAGAAAAAAAGAAAGAGGAAAAUUUUUAACGGACGCGCAUGACACGCAAUGGCAAAAUCAAUGCGAUUGGCCACUGACCAGUUGGUACCACUUAACGAAAUGUUAAACGCACGAGUUCCAGGAGUUACGUCGUCGAGGAGAUCAGAGGUAGCGGCAAGAAAGGGUUGGAACGUGCCGAAAAACGAGAGUGCCGGCGUGACCGUGGUAACGGAAGUCUUCAGAGGGAGUGUCUGGUACCGGAGUCGUACCGGCUCCCUGGAAGCUGAAAACGAUGGACCGUGUCAGAGGAAUGUUUCUGAUUUUAUUACAAGUACGAGAGAUAGAGAGAAAAAAUUGUAUAGUUCAGAGAGAUAAUUCGUGGUGCGGGUCCAGCCGCGAAAGAGAAAGUAAAAAAAUGAUGAGAAACGAAGAAGAAGAAGAUACGAAGGAAAAGAAGAGGGACAAGAAUUAGAGAAAAAUAAAAGCAACAGAGAAGGAUCUUGGGUCGAGUGUGGAGUUCUCGGAGGGAACACGCUGUUCCUGGAAGCCUCGGCUUCUCGGUCCUCUCGGUCCUCUCUGCCUCGCUUCAUGUUUCAGUUAACUUUCUGCCAGCUCUUAUUACGGACUCAACGCUUUACCAGGCUGUGUGCUCCUCUGCGCCGUCUCGUGCUGAACUGCGCUGUCGUUUUUCUGGGGAUCCACAGAUUUCUCUCUCUUUCUCUAGUUUCAUCUUUAUCACUCUUCUUACUCUCUCGCUAUUUAACUCUAUGUCUCUCGCUUUCUCUACACCUUUACCUAUCGAUCCCUUAUAUCCAUCUUCUUGUUUUCUAUAUCUAUAUUCACUUCUACGUACUGGCAUAUGUAUAGGUGUACGUAUGUAAUAUAAAAAUCCAUCGCUGUACCAACGACCUUAAUAUUUUAUAUAGGUUUCAUACGACGCGAGUCACUUUGCUUUUUGCUCUUCAUGUCGAUCCUUUUAGCUCAUACCUCAUGCCCAGGACCACUGCUAUCGAAUGGCUGGUUGGAGCAAGUACUGUAAGAAAGAAAAAUUGUAAAUGAAAAUCUAAGAAAUGGAAAAUUAUAAUUUCGCAGAUUCGAUCCCUAUCGGAUGAAAUUCCACUGGCGAAUUACACUCUCACCGCCUCUGGCUGUAUUGCCUUCUCGAGGGCGCUGAUCUUCCUAUGGAGCGUUAUAAAUCGUAUAACGCUACUAUUGAUUCUAUCGAUGAUCCAAGAGCUGUCAUGUACCUCCUCCAAAAACACAACGAGUGCCAAAGACAGAUAUGAAAAGGAGUUUUUGACUGGAAUUGUCAUAGGGUCCUGUAGGAGUUUCUAAAAAGUCUAAACUACCGGAUGCCUGAUCGGGUGCCUCAAGGCGCAACCAGAACGGGAACAGGUCUUUGCACGGAGCCGUAUACGUACACGGCAAUCACAUAGAGUACAGGCAUAUGAGACCGGCACAGAUAGUAACCUUGUCUAGAAUGUAUCCAAGGCUGUUUCUCGGCGUGGCGAGGAAAAAUAAAUGAGAUGAAAAACGAGAGAGAGAAAUCCCAACUUACACCAUGUUGUUCAUAGAUAAUUCAACUUUUAAAUUCCUGAUUGGCUACGCCGCCUAUCUUACGUUUCUACAUGCCUGAAAAAAUCAUUAUACAAUCUCGGCUGCCAUUUAUAUGGCAAAUACGCGAAUUAUAUACUCUCAGGUUUUUCUUUAACGAUCGGUUCAUGAUUCAUUGGGAUAUCGACUGUGAACCGGUUCAAAAAACUGAUGAUUCCUCACAGUCAUCCAUUAAUAAUUCCGUAUCUAUAUACGUACUACGACGUCAUCCGUUUUACUUUUUUUUUCUUUUUUUUACACGGAUUUGCACGACGUCCUUGGUCAGCAGGAUUUCACGAGUCGCGAAAUCUCACCGAGGAUAGCGCGAUCGUUUUCAAUUAGACUUCUGACCAACAUACUCACAGUUAUGGGAUACAUGGACGACUUUGGCGUACGUGCCAGGCAUAGUUGUAUCCUGACUGGAUAUAUUGCCUGGAGAUAAAUAAGUCACUUUCACAAGAGACUCGCCUAUAGUCAACAGAAUCGUGAUGUCUUCUGGGACUUUUUUUUUAACGCACCAAUCCCCACCAUUUUGAAUUAACAUUCGUCGAUUCGCAUCUCUCGGUGUACAUCUCUGGUACAGGAUCUUUGCCAGAAAAUCCGUGAUGCUGUACCUUGGUUACAGUAUGAACGACCCACAUCCGCUUCUAUUUUCCUUUGCCCACUGCAGUAACCGUGUCAACUCCUACGUUUACGAUUUCGCGGAAGCCGAUGAAACGAACGUACAAUUCAGGCACGUCCUCAUGAGGCAUACAUGCGAUUGUACCAAUACACAUACACGUAUGUAGAUAGUAACACAUCUGUCAGCUUGCCAGGAAUCCGUCGUUUCGUUCGUCCAAGGAAGUCUCACAGGAUCGAUGAAGUCUGGAUGUAUGGCAACUUCAUUCUCCACCACGGAAUCGUCUUCAAGGAAGCAACAGAACGUUUCUGCGUCCAUGAAGGAAUUCGUAGAACCUCUGAAAGGCCUAU